rnacentral:rRNA from 1 species
GACGAACGCUGGCGGCGUGCUUAACACAUGCAAGUCGAACGGAAAGGCCCUGCUUUUGUGGGGUGCUCGAGUGGCGAACGGGUGAGUAACACGUGAGUAACCUGCCCUUGACUUUGGGAUAACUUCAGGAAACUGGGGCUAAUACCGGAUAGGAGCUCCUGCUGCAUGGUGGGGGUUGGAAAGUUUCGGCGGUUGGGGAUGGACUCGCGGCUUAUCAGCUUGUUGGUGGGGUAGUGGAUUACCAAGGCUUUGACGGGUAGCCGGCCUGAGAGGCUGACCGGCGACAUGGGGACUGAGAGACGGCCCAGACUCCUACGGGAGGCAGCAGUGGGGAAUAUUGCACAAUGGGCGGAAGCCUGAUGCAGCAACGCCGCGUGCGGGAUGACGGCCUUCGGGGUGUAAACCGCUUUCGCCUGUGACGAAGCGUGAGUGACGGUAAUGGGUAAAGAAGCACCGGCUAACUACGUG